AGAUGCUGGAUGCCAGACAUCUUGCAAUAGGAAUAGGAGAGAAGGAGGGCAAAAAAAAAAAAAGAAAAAAAAAUAGUGGUUAAAUGGAAGGACAGAAUGGGAAAAAAUAAAACCAUAUUCCUAGCCAUCCAGACAGCAUUUUUCUCUGACAUGUUUGUAAUACGGAUCUCAGCCAAGAAAAGUCCAUGAUGAGAAGCCAGGUGGACCCUAAUGAUGCCAGCUUUGUGGGCUAGGGGAGAGAAUAACAAGGAAAGAUUGGUGACCUUCAACCAGUCUGAAACCAGGAGUGAGUUGAAAUUCAUUUCUUCAAGCAAAGUUAUUUAUUGAGCACCUGCUAUGUGCCCUUAUAGAUCUAGCUGCUCCUCUUCAGAUGUCUUUGUCUUAUGUCCAUUAUUCCAGAGAUGUAUGAUCUGAUGUUACAAUUAUAAGAAGGAAUGGGAAGGUGAUACUGAGCUCCAGUGAUGUGCCCAACCUGGGCCAAGUGCCUUACCAACUGGAUCAGUUAACCCUUGUUAACAACCCAGGAGUAAAGAACACCCAUAUGUUCAGGAGAAAUUUCAAGGUCGCAGAGUCUAUAAGUGAAGAGAUUGCCCUGUGGUCAUUUAGCUUAGGGCUUCUUAAACUUGGCUGCAUUUUCUGGGCUUUUUUUUUUUAACAAUGUAUAUUCCUACAUCCCAGGUCCAUCCUAGUCUGGUAGCCUGAAUCUAUAGGUAAGCCUGGGCUUCUAUACAGUUAAAACAAGAAAACAAACAACAGAGGGCAGAAAACCUCCUUAAUGAUUCUUAAAUCAGCCGAGUUUGGAAACUUGAUUUAGUUCAGCUUUUAUUUUG